UCGUCGACCUCGCUAAAGUUAAAGUUUCAAGAAAAUGAUUGAUAUCAAUAAAAAACAGUUUUAAAUAAACGUAAAUAUGUCUUGAACACCUAAACAUAAAGUAAAUUGUUCAAUCGUUAAUAGAUGGCAGUAUUUUCCCUCGUAAAAUUGUUUACAGUUAGUUAACAAUGUUACUCCCUUUAUUGAUUAAUUUGUUUUUGUUUUUAUUCAAUGAUUAAUGACAAUUGUUAAAAUUUUAAAUUUUAUCUAGAUAAUUGUCUUGUUACAAGUUAAUCUAUUCAUUGUAUCAUGUUCAUGUUUCCCAACAGUCUUUAUUUUUUACGCAAUCAAAAUUGUUAAAGGGUCUACAAGUCUGUUGUAUUGUAUUCAAGUCUAAACAGUUUUUGUGUUACCCUUAGCUAUUCAUGAUCAAUGUUUUCAUUUUUAAUUAAUCUUGAGUAAGUUGUAACACAUUAACUAAAUUAUUUCUAUAUUCAUCACAGCUACAGGAUUGACAAGAAAUAAAGGUUGCUGAUAUUGAUUACCUUACAAGACAUGAGUUUUUCACCGGUAUAAGGCAUCUCAGAUGGUUCUUCAACACUGGCAUAGUUGUCUAAAGCAACCGCAGCCCAAGGGGUUGAUCUUGAUCGAUUUGAAACCUGGGAAACUGGAGGUGCCAAUAGAGACGCCACAGCUCGCAGACCAGAUAUAAUAUGAGGUGGAAGAGUUGGAUCGUUUAACAUUUCAGUUACCAAGCCAUGUGCUUCAAUAAUAAGGGCAACAUCCACUGAAGAUCGAGAUGAUUGCGGCUGUUUAUGACCAAAAAGAGAAGAAAAUAAUUCAAUAAAUUUCAUUUUCCAAGGAGAUUCAAUUUAAUGUCAGCUUGUAAACCUCAAAGAAACAUCUAAAACCCAAAACAUGGAUUCUCACAUGAAUGUGACAUUGACCAAGGCUUGCCAGAUUUAAACCAGUGUCACCCAAAAAAAAAUAGAAUUAUCAAAGUGAGAUGAAAUCUGAUAAAAUGUGAUCCAACUUUUAUAACAACAAAACCAGUAUGACAUUUAAUCAAAUUUAUCAUCUGAUAUUAUCAAAAGCAAGUGGUUUAAAUCAAGAACUUUAGGAUUAGAUUAAUCAAGAUGAUCUUCAAAUACAACAUGGAGAGGGUGAUAAUGAUAACGAUGCAUAUAUACAAUGGUUACUUGGAGGGAAAAGAUGCAACAGGAAUAACAAGGAAAGGCCAACUUAACCAUGGACUCAUUAAUUUUGACUUUUGAUCCAAACCAAGACUAGUUGGUCAAAGUUGGAAUAUUUAUAAAGCAAAAUUUGGGAAAAAAUCAAGAAGCGAAUCUUUGUGCCUCUCUGUAUUUCCUUUAUUACCAUCAAUACAAAUCAAGAGAAACUCGAGAUUCAGGAAAAUGGCAGAGAAUAAAUGAAUGAAUUUUGUUAAACUCAAUACCAAUACAAGAAAGCUGUAAAAAGCAAGUAUAUUUUCAACUAAAGAAAUACCACCACAAGCCAAUGAAAAACAUAUGAUCCUGGAAAGCUUCGCUUCAAUUGGAUUACUAUCAAAAUCAACUUUACUUCUUCAACACUCAGUUAAUCUCGAGUAAUUCAAAAUUUGCCAUCAAAUGUUAAUAAUGUCCACCGAUAAUGGAUUUGUUAGGGUCAAUAUUUUCUCAAUACUUUCUAGAUUAACGAUUAGUCGCAAGGAAAUGAUUAUUGAUACGAUCAAUCGAUAAUUGACUCUCAAUCAUCGAUUAUGAAUUAGAUGAGCCAUCGAUAAAGAAAUAGCAACAAAUAGUUAAUCUUAAAUCUCAAGACUUAAUUUUUUGCGUUCAUAAAGGCUAUGAGAAUAUUUCAAUUUAAAAUUUUCCUCUCAUCUAAUUGAGAAAAUAUAAUAUAAACAUGAAAGUAUCUGAAUAUAAAGUAUCUGUCCUAACUAUUGACACAAUUGAAUUUGAUUGUUGAGUGCAAAAAAUUGUGCCAAAGUAAAAGGCAAAAAAUAGACUUAGCAAUCAUAAUUUUCAUAUAAUUUCCUUACUAUUUUUUAUUAUUAUAUUGUUAUUACCAUCAUUAUUAUCAUUUUCACGCAAAUAUUAUUGAAUUACUUUACCUUCCCUGUCUGCACUCUUUUCACAGUGAAAAAAACACAUUU